AGAAGGAGGGGCGGCCGCGGGAGGCGGGGGCGGGGCAGGGGCAGGGAAGGGGCGGUGCCUCCCUGGGCCUCACCUGGCCCAGCCGGCUGAUCCUCUGGCGAACCAAGUAGAUGUUGGACGCCAUGCUGCUUGCGCCGCGCCCCCUUCCCUCAAGUCCUGCCCCCGGCGUUCGGGUUUCUGUCGCGCAUGCGUGCCCCCACCCUGCGCCUGCGUAGCGGGGGCCGUUACCUCGCGCCCAGCCCAAGUUUCCGCUUCGUGGUCUCACCACCUCGCCGUACCAAGUUCUUUUCCUCCGGCUUACCGCCACAGUUCCCAACUUUUAGGUGGAUUUAAAAAAAUAUUGACACAGAUGAAGCCGCAUUUCAAGGCUGGUGUUAGGGACCUGUUGUCAAACUGGUGGAAAGUUAUUGCAGAACAACGGACUUUGAGCGACAGAAGUGUAGGGUAUCUCUGUCAGAAGCGUCAUUCACCAAAUAUUCUUAUGGAAAUUAACUUUGUCAAAGCCAUCUUUGGAGUUAGGCUUGAGAGAUGUAGGAGAAAGGUUAUACCUACCAGAAAAUGGCUUACCCACCUGUCCUACCCUGUCCAUUAAGUUCUCCGCGUGGGAAGCUCUUGGAGUCUUUCUACGGAAGACUAAUUCCUGCUUUCCCUUCAAGAGUCGCCUUGGGUGACACUUCCUGGCAUCCAGUUAUCCGAGCCCCGAAGUAAUGAUCUCCUUACUGCCUUCCCCCAAAUCUAGGAAGAUUGGAGAGCUGGAAUGCUGGCGGCUUGGCGUGUAUGGUAAGAUGGCUAACACCAUGUAGCAAUACAUGGAGAAGAAAGGAAUUUCGCACAGUAGAAUCUCCUACCAACGUCUGAGCAGUGAUCUAUGAAUUAGCAGGUUCCUUGCGAUUGAAGUCAUUCCGCUCUUAUUGACUGUCUUUCUAGGAAGCUAAUCCUUUCUCAUCUGAGACUGGUUUACCUACUUACUUGCUUCCCAGAGAGUGCAAAGAAUGUAUUUCAAUUUUCUGGUCCACACUCUUACUCUUUUUAUCCUGACUUCCACUUCUCAGUCCUCAGCACAGCCUUAUUUAUGUUCAGUGGGCACCUAGUGAAUGAUGGCAGAUUCCUCUUUCUAAACAAAAAGGCAUCAGAGAUGCCCCUCAAGGCAGAAUCAGUGGAAAGUAACAUACAUUGGUACCCAGUGCAUCUGAGACCACUGUGGAAGGUAUAGUUGUUUCUCUUCAGGAUACCAUUAGUGCUAGAAGAUGCACCUUGAAGGUUAAGAAGUUCUCUUUUCCUUGUCCAUGUGCUACUAGAUUUUAAAAGAUAGAGACCACUUAAGGAAGCAGAAGAAAAGUGUCCGGUCCCCUAUCAGAACUCACUCACAGGCUCUGACUGGGCAGAAGAAAACAGGAGUGAGCUACUGCUGUUACCCUCAGUUAUGUAUACCCCAGAGCUGCUUCUGCCAGUCAGCAGAGCUCAGAGGAGCUCCUCCUUUCCUGAGAAGGAGCUGGUAGUGGCUGGUAGAGUAAGUGAGAUCUGAUUAGGCAACCAGAUUCUUGUGAAUUUUUUGAAUGCUGGAAAAACAAGAGUGUCUAAACAAUAGCAUCUCAUCGAAGGCACAACUGUUCAAAAUCUGGGAAGAAUGUUCAGAUGACUGUAUCACAUUGACUGCAGCACUACUCAUUUUCUGAUUUGCUCUAACAAUCUGAAGAAAGAGCCAGAAGCACUCGGCACAACAUGUUCUACUCUCUACCAGGGCCAUCAUGGAAAAUAAUGCUUGUAAUGCAGAAUUGCCCUGUCUGCGGUAGUAUAAUUGAGCCCUAUCUAUGAUAGUAUAAUUAUGGCUAAGUUACCUACAUAAUUUGUUAUUGUUUGACUAUUUCUUUGCUAUUUAUAAAAUAUAUGCCCAGUUAUAUUGGGAUUUAAGGAUAUGCAAGAGGUCAGGAGAAAGCUUUGUUUAGGGAAAUCAUAUCAUUGGCUAACUAUAACAUUUUUUGGCAUUUCUUGAUGACAAUACAGAGGUUUAUUGGAAAGAUGAGAUUUUGUAACUCAUUCUCAACAAAUAUUUGCCCUUUUUUUUUU